AACAGGGUUGAAAUCCAACCUACUCCGAGUGUCAGCCUUCUGUCUUCCUCCUCAGCCCACCCCCUAGGGCCAUCUCCCACUAGGAGACUGAGGGAGAGGAGUCCUUACCCCACACCCCUCCUGAGUUGCUCUCUUCCCACUGUUCCUCACACUUCACAGCUGGUAAUCACUUGAAGCAUUGAUUGGGUUCGCAAGAAGCAAGAGUGGGUGACUGUGGGCUGGCCACAUGCCCCUUCACUGCCUGUCCCCUCCUCCACUCAACACCACACAAGAUUGUAGGAGGGAUCAACCUCAGCUCAAGAGUCAAAGAGAUGAGAAGCAUCAGAGCAGCAGCGUAGCUUGGAGACCAUACACCAGGUUCCUGACACCAGUCCCCGGGGCAGGACAGCUGAGUCUCCAUGAUGCUCAGAGAAGGGAUAAAAUGGAAACAGAUGCAAAAUUUCACGGAAAAGGCACUUUUGCUUUCAAACAUUUAUAAGCAUAACCAGUCAUUACAGAUAAGGAAAAAGAACAUAGUAGGUUGCUAUGGUCUGAAUGUGUCUCACAAAAUUUAUAUAUUGAAACAUAAUCCCCAUGAGAUAGUUUUAAGAGGCAGGGCCUUUAGGAGGUGAUUAAGUCAUCAGGUAGAGCCCUUCCAGAUGGGGUUAGGGCCCUUAUCAAAGGGCUCGAGGGAGGAGGUUCAUUCUCUUCUGCUGUGAGGACACAGUGUUUGUCCUCUUUCUGCCCGUCUGCCUUCCACCAUGUGAUGCAGUGGUCAAGGCCUCAGCAGACAUCAAACCUGCCUGUGCCUUGGUCUUGGACUUCCAGCCUCCAUAACUCUCUGUGGUUUAUAAAUUACCCAGCCUCAGAUAUUUUGUUACAGCAGCCCAGACAGAACAAGACACAGGUGUAAGUGAAGCCACUUGCAGAAGGGUUCCCAUGCGAAGUGAGGUGGGAGGAGACCCACACUAAGGAGCUACAACAUGGUGGGGGAAAGAGCAACAGGCGGGGAGUCCACGCUCCUGCUAAAUCUGGCCUUCUCCCUUCACAGGUGGCCUCCUGUGGUCACGCCUGUCCCUGCUGCUGCUUGCCGUCCUUGGGUUCACCCCCUCUGUCCACAGGCCCUCCCUUCUGCACCCCUCACUGCGUGGCCCUCUACCUACCUUUGCAGGCCUCCCAAUCCCCCCAGUGGGAUAUUCCCAAGCCUCAGGUUCACCCAACCCUACCCCUGAGCAGGCCUGGGUGUGGAGGCCAGGAGAACACGCCCUGCAGCCCAACGAAACGCAGGGAGAGGAAGUGUCCAAGGCCAAAGGGGCUGCACUCUGAAGGGACUGAGCACAGGAGGACAUGAAGGGAGGCAGUCCCCGGGAGAGGUGGGCUCCUCCAAGGGUGCCUUUGGCUGGAGCACUCUUGCACGGCCGUGGAAUCUUCCUUAGACUCCAUGGCAGUCUAGGAUGCAUCCUCCCAACCUGCUCUCCCUCCUCCCCUCAGGGUCUGCCCUGAGUCCUGGUCUGAAAACUCCUCAGACAGCCUCCCUCUGACUUUCCUCACCUGGGCAUCUCCUCCAACAAAAUCUUGGCAUUUUUAAUCCCCUCUUGGCAUCUGCUUCUCAGAGGCCCUGGACUGGUGCAUGAGGCUCUUCAGAUGGGAUGUGAACUGUCAGAGAGCUUGGCAGGAGGCCCUUUGGAGUCCCACAGAACAACUCAGGAAAGGGGGCUUCCCUGACCCAAUGUCCAGCGUGGAGGCCCUAGGGGGCAGGCAUUCUGAGCCUCCCCACCUGUGUGGGCUGAAGGCGUGUCUUUGACUCUUGUGAUCCAGCAGACAGCUGUGGAAAUACAAACACAUACAGAGAAACAUGUGUCUCCCCCAGGUUCUCAGCUGUCUGCCGUCAGAAGGAAAGCAUUCACACUCCAGUUCCCAGGAGACUGCAGCCAGGACGCUUGGGUUUCCACCACGGAUUCCUCUGCUGAGGGGCUGCUCCGCGGUAACUUUCCUCCCGAGAAGCACAGGAAUGAAACGGCGAUGAGCCCCGUAGGUGAAGAUGAUCGUCUGUUCACCUGCAGUUCACAGAACCUUUGAUGUUACUCUAUCGUCUGGAUCUCUUUUGCCUGUGAGGGAGGCAGAGAGGUAUUUAGGCAUGAGGCAGCAGAGGUUUAGCAAGAGGUGCUCCUGGAGGGCCUUGAACACCCAUCCUAAAGGGGUCCUGGUGUUGUCGGUGGUGAGACCAGGGGUCAAGGCUGCACUCAAGCACUAACUCUGUGAACCUGACUGCUCAGUAGUUUCCAUAGCUAGGUACCACACCAGCAAUCUGAAAAGCCUUGGACCUCCACUCCCCAAGCAGCUGCUUCCUGGAAUGAAAAAGAAAG
rnacentral:lncRNA from 1 species